UCAGGAAAAUGGAGCUUUGUGUACAUUCCUUGCAAAUACACAGGCUUUCAUCAGAGACACUUCAGCUGCCCCAAAUCACAGUUGCUUCUAUGACAACAAACAUGUCAAGAUGGAAUGCAAAUUUGUCCCUGGUGCAGCCAGCAGUGCCUGCCAGCUCCCUGCUCAGCCGAGGAAAAGCCAGAAGGCUGGGAUGGAUGUGCUGGUAAUGCAACACGUGGACUUUUUGUUUGGAGAACUUAAACGAAAGCAGGCAGUGUGAUCAAGAUAAAGCUUUUAAUGAUGUUUGCCUUAUUAUAGUUAUGAAUGCUCUCUA